GAAUCCUGGUCUUCGUGAAAUGAAUGCCGACGACCGAAAGGAGUACACAAUCCUGCUCUGUAGGUGUUCUUCACCCCACUCUAUACCAACACCUUGGUUCCACGAGCGACUACACAAGUACCGGCGGCCACAUGCUCCGAGUUUCCUGUUUCAGUCCUGUCUAAGGACAAGCGAACCAGCCACAUGGGUGCCUUGAUUCACGGCUCGCUCUUCUUCGUCAGCGUGGUUUUGUUUACGGCCAUGUCGGCGGCUCGACUGCCUUUAUGCUCGACCGAGCACUGUACAGCCUGCGACAAGUGUGCUCCGAACGUCACUUCCGCAAUGGAGUGUCAGGUCAUCGCCGCCGCUGGAGCUAGGGGCUGCCUGUGCUGCAGCAAAGGCGGUGACGUGUCUAACGCUAGUGCUGUGAUCGUCGAACCACCGUCGACGAAGAAACGACCGAUCUGCAGCCUGGUUUGUCGCGGAGAAAUCGACUUGGACACGUGUGGCUGCGAAUCGUCGUGGUGAUAGGCGGUUGCUUUACGCAUCUCGCACUUUCUUUUCGCUUACGCUGUUUGCGUGCCACCCGGCAGGAGAUAUCGACCACACGAUGUCUCCGCUGAACCCGUCAUAAACCACCACCACCGGAUCCCUUGUUUGGUGUCUUGCGUGUCCGGAAAUAAAGGCUGCUUUGCGCCGACCCUUGAAAACGGCAUCAAAA